rnacentral:rRNA from 1 species
ACGAACGCUGGCGGCGUGCCUAAUACAUGCAAGUAGAACGCUGAAGGAGGAGCUUGCUCUUCUGGAUGAGUUGCGAACGGGUGAGUAACGCGUAGGUAACCUGCCUGGUAGCGGGGGAUAACUAUUGGAAACGAUAGCUAAUACCGCAUAACAGUAGAUGUUGCAUGACAUUUACUUAAAAGGUGCAAUUGCAUCACUACCAGAUGGACCUGCGUUGUAUUAGCUAGUUGGUGGGGUAACGGCUCACCAAGGCGACGAUACAUAGCCGACCUGAGAGGGUGAUCGGCCACACUGGGACGGAGACACGGCCCAGACUCCUACGGGAGGCAGCAGUAGGGAAUCUUCGGCAAUGGACGGAAGUCUGACCGAGCAACGCCGCGUGAGUGAAGAAGGGUUUCGGAUCGUAAAGCUCUGUUGUAAGAGAAGAACGAGUGUGAGAGUGGAAAGUUCACACUGUGACGGUAUCUUACCAGAAAGGGACGGCUAACUACGUG